rnacentral:rRNA from 1 species
UACGUAGGGGGCAAGCGUUAUCCGGAUUUACUGGGUGUAAAGGGAGCGUAGGCGGUUAGAUAAGUCUGAUGUGAAAGCCCACAGCUUAACUGUGGGAUUGCAUUGGAAACUAUAGAACUAGAGUGUCGGAGAGGUAAGUGGAAUUCCUAGUGUAGCGGUGAAAUGCGUAGAUAUUAGGAGGAACACCAGUGGCGAAGGCGGCUUACUGGACGAUGACUGACGCUGAGGCUCGAAAGCGUGGGGAGCAAACAGG